rnacentral:rRNA from 1 species
CUACGGGGGGCUGCAGUGGGGAAUAUUGGACAAUGGGCGAAAGCCUGAUCCAGCCAUGCCGCGUGUGUGAAGAAGGCCUUCGGGUUGUAAAGCACUUUCAGUGGGGAAGAAAGCCUUGGGGCUAAUACCCUCGAGGAAGGACAUCACCCACAGAAGAAGCACCGGCUAACUCCGUGCCAGCAGCCGCGGUAAUACGGAGGGUGCGAGCGUUAAUCGGAAUUACUGGGCGUAAAGCGCGCGUAGGCGGUCUGAUAAGCCGGUUGUGAAAGCCCCGGGCUCAACCUGGGAACGGCAUCCGGAACUGUCAGGCUAGAGUGCAGGAGAGGAAGGUAGAAUUCCCGGUGUAGCGGUGAAAUGCGUAGAGAUCGGGAGGAAUACCAGUGGCGAAGGCGGCCUUCUGGACUGACACUGACGCUGAGGUGCGAAAGCGUGGGUAGCAAACAGGAUUAGAUACCCCAGUAGU